GACGAACCGUGCAAACGUUAUUCGGAAUCACUGGGUGUAAAGGGCUCGUAGGCGGCCAACUAAGUCGGACGUGAAAUCCCUCAGCUUAACUGGGGAACUGCGUCCGAUACUGGAUGGCUUGGAUUUGGGAGAGGGAUGCGGAAUUCCAGGUGUAGCGGUGAAAUGCGUAGAUAUCUGGAGGAACACCGGUGGCGAAGGCGGCAUCCUGGACCAAUAUUGACGCUGAGGAGCGAAAGCUAGGGGAGCAAACGGG
rnacentral:rRNA from 1 species